rnacentral:rRNA from 1 species
GAUGAACGCUGGCGGCGUGCCUAAUACAUGCAAGUCGAGCGAACAGACGAGGAGCUUGCUCCUCUGACGUUAGCGGCGGACGGGUGAGUAACACGUGGAUAACCUACCUAUAAGACUGGGAUAACUUCGGGAAACCGGAGCUAAUACCGGAUAAUAUAUUGAACCUCAUGGUUCAAUAGUGAAAGACGGUUUUGCUGUCACUUAUAGAUGGAUCCGCGCCGCAUUAGCUAGUUGGUAAGGUAACGGCUUACCAAGGCAACGAUGCGUAGCCGACCUGAGAGGGUGAUCGGCCACACUGGAACUGAGACACGGUCCAGACUCCUACGGGAGGCAGCAGUAGGGAAUCUUCCGCAAUGGGCGAAAGCCUGACGGAGCAAAGCCGCGUGAGUGAUGAAGGUCUUCGGAUCGUAAAACUCUGUUAUUAGGGAAGAACAAAUGUGUAAGUAACUAUGCACGUCUUGACGGUACCUAAUCAGAAAGCUACGGCUAACUACGUG